rnacentral:rRNA from 1 species
GCCCAGAUGGGAUUAGCUUGUUGGUGAGGUAACGGCUCACCAAGGCGACGAUCCCUAGCUGGUCUGAGAGGAUGACCAGCCACACUGGAACUGAGACACGGUCCAGACUCCUACGGGAGGCAGCAGUGGGGAAUAUUGCACAAUGGGCGCAAGCCUGAUGCAGCCAUGCCGCGUGUAUGAAGAAGGCCUUCGGGUUGUAAAGUACUUUCAGCGGGGAGGAAGGUGUUGUGGUUAAUAACCGCAGCAAUUGACGUUACCCGCAGAAGAAGCACCGGCUAACUCCGUGCCAGCAGCCGCGGUAAUACGGAGGGUGCAAGCGUUAAUCGGAAUUACUGGGCGUAAAGCGCACGCAGGCGGUCUGUCAAGUCGGAUGUGAAAUCCCCGGGCUCAACCUGGGAACUGCAUUCGAAACUGGCAGGCUUGAGUCUUGUAGAGGGGGGUAGAAUUCCAGGUGUAGCGGUGAAAUGCGUAGAGAUCUGGAGGAAUACCGGUGGCGAAGGCGGCCCCCUGGACAA